rnacentral:tRNA from 1 species
GCUCCUGUGGCGAAAUUGGUAAACGCCGUGCGUCUGGGACGCACCGUCUGGCUGGACUUGCGGGUUCGAAUCCCGCCAGGAGCA